rnacentral:sRNA from 1 species
AGGCCAUUAUGCCUCUAAUUGUCCAGACCGACUAUUGAAGUUAAUCAAGCUCCAAGAAAGGCAACAAGAGGCUGAAGACGAUAAUGAUGAUGAAGCGGAGU